rnacentral:rRNA from 1 species
AUGGAGCUCAAGCCAUUAUGGCUGACAAGAAGUGUGCUAUCACAGGAGUCUAACCAGAAAGACAUGUGCUUGAUUGCUAUCCCUGCUGGUAUCAAUCAGAAGAAAAGUGUAGAUGCCUUUAUGAAGAAGUUUCUUGUAGAUAACUUCACAGCUAUAUUGUUCCACUACGAUGGGAAGGUCAAUGAGUGGAAUGAUCUACCAUGGAGCAAAAGUGUGAUACACAUCGCUGCUUCUAAUUAG